rnacentral:rRNA from 1 species
CGGCGUGCUUAACACAUGCAAGUCGAGCGAAGCAUACUGAAUAGCUUGCUAUUUUGUAUGACUGAGCGGCGAACGGGUGAGUAACACGUGGGUGAUCUACCUGGAAGACUGGGAUAACAGUUGGAAACGGCUGCUAAUACCGGAUGACAUCUAUUAAUCGGAUAAUAGAUCAAAGAUUAUAUUGCUUUCAGAUGAGCCCGCGUUCCAUUAGUUAGUUGGUGGGGUAAUGGCCUACCAAGGCGACGAUGGGUAGCCGGUCUGAGAGGAUGGUCGGCCACACUGGGACUGAGACACGGCCCAGACUCCUACGGGAGGCAGCAGCAAGGAAUCUUGGGCAAUGGGCGGAAGCUUGACCCAGCGACACCGCGUGAGGGAUGAAGGCCUUCGGGUUGUAAACCUCUUUUCUUGGGGAAGAAUUAUGACGGUACCCAAGGAAUAAGCCUCGGCCAACUACGUGCCAGCAGCCGCGGUAAUACGUAGGAGGCGAACGUUAUUCGGAUUUACUGGGCGUAAAGGGAGCGUAGGCGGCUCGUUAAGUCAUGCGUAAAAUCUUCCGACUUAAUCGGAAGGGGCCGUGUGAUACUGGCGGGCUUGAGAGCAACAGAGGGAAAUGGAAUCCCCAGUGUAGCGGUGAAAUGCGUAGAUAUUGGGGAGAACACCAGUGGCGAAGGCGAUUUUCCAGGUUGUUUCUGACGCUGAGGCUCGAAAGCGUGGGGAGCGAAG